rnacentral:lncRNA from 1 species
UAUACUUUGAUUUUUUAAUCAUCUACAUUUUAAAUAAAAAAUAUACAGGGUAUCCCAAAUGUGGGUCAACACUCGUAAAAAGGUAGAAGGGAUCGAGAUGAACAUAAAAGUCCAAUGUCUUGGGUUAGGUUAGGUCCAAUAAUCGAGAUAUUAACGUAUGGAAUCUGCAAAGAAUCUAUAAUUAAUUUCUAUCGUAAUUCUAUCGUGAACAGCAAAUUAAUGAAAGCUUAUCCAGAUAGCCAAACUUGCCGAGAGCACGAACUGAAAAAUUUUGACACAUAUUAUGCUGGCAAAAGUUGAACAGCAAGCAAUUACAGUUUGCCGUUUCAACUAACAUUAACAGAAACACGACAAAAAUCGAGUAGACUUUGCAUCACAAUGUGCCCUCAAAAAUGCAGCAAAAGUACAACAAAAUUUAAAGACAUUAACAAAACAAAAAUUAGACAUUGUGUGUUGACACAAUAUAUCACUAAAAAUUAAAUUAAAAAAAACAGAUAUGUCAUGAUGUCACAUUAAAUUAAUAAAAUGUAGCUAGAAAUUUGACACAUUUGCUAUCACGCUGCGAUACCAGAAACUUGGCGAAAAUACAGCACGAUGUAUCACAUGAAGUAUAGACAGCAAAAAUGCAGCAGAAAUCGAGCAGAGCCUGCCGUCAUGACAUGACGGCGAAAACGCGGCAGGUAUAGAACGCAAGUUUGCUACAUCAGAUGUGUAAUGACUUCUGCACACAGGACGCGGCAAAGCGGCAUCGCGGCGGUAGUAAGGUUGAUCGCCCGACGUGUCUCCCGUCGAAUCCCACACUUCCCGGACCUGAUCCUCCCAGAAGUCUUCUCAAAGAUUUCCACCUUCAUAUAAAAAAAAGUUCAAAUUGAACGGUUCUUGCAUGUGAUAUCAUCUUGGGUUUAAUUAACUCUCUGCAGUCAGUCGAAAACGCCACAUUUAAAUUUAAGUAUAUAAUCAUAAAAUAUAUAAUUCGUAAUGUAUAUGUAAAUUAAAUAUCAUCAAAUUUAUAAAAUUAUAUAAUGUAAAUUAAAUGUAAUAAUAAUAUUAAUAAACAUAUAUACAUUGCAUACAUUAAUUAUUUAUUUUACUAAUUAAAAAUUAUUAAUAAUACGUCAUAUCGUGUUAAAUUUUUGCUAUAUUUUUCCGAUUACUUGUGACGACAGCUUGGUGCUCGAUUUCUGCUAUGUUUUUGCCGUCACAACCGAUAAAGCAGAUCACGUUCUAUAUCUGCUGCGUUUUCGCCGGCAUGUCAUGACGGCAGGCUCAUCUGCUCGAUUUCUGCUGCAUUUUUGCUGUCAGUACUUCAUGUGACACAUCGUGCUGUAUCUUCGCCGCAUUUCUGGUGUCGCAGCGUGAUAGCAUUUCAUGCUUCGUUUUUGCUGUCUUUCUGCGUUUAGAGUUUAAUUUGUCAGAUUGUGUUCGAUAUUUACUAUGAAUUUGCUGUCAUGUUAUGGUAGCAGAUGAUAUUCGAUUUUUGCUGUAUUUCUAUCAAUAUUUUCUGUUGAUAAUGUGCUGUUAGAAACUAAGCUUAAUGAGGAAGCAGCAGAUUGAAAUCUGCUGCGAUAUCAUGCUCGAAUUUGCUAGCAUAUAUUGCCGGCAAGCUGCUAGCAUUUUGCUUGCUGGGUAUCAUUCACGAUAGAUUUUUUCUUCCAUGUUAUGGCUCGAGCAGAUCAAGCUUUUUCUUCGGCGCGCUCUCAUUC